rnacentral:snRNA from 1 species
ACAUGAUCUGUCUGUAAAAUCUGUCAUCCUAUUGGUCCCCAGUGUUGACUAGACAUACCUGCAUGGCUAGGCAGAUGCUCAUUCCCUCCACAGCUCUUCAUGUUUUAUCUUCUUGAAGCAAUGUGUUUAGCUAAAGAGAGAAAAAAGUGUCUUCAAUAAGGAGAAGCAUUUUUUGGUCAAGGUUAUACAAGUAGCUGUGCUUCUCUGUUAGAACCAUCAACCAGGAUAUAAUGGUCUAUCUAAAGGCCUAUUUAGUCUAGUGAUAUAUCAUUCUUGGGGGGGGGUUAUUUGAAAUGCACCCAA